rnacentral:sRNA from 1 species
UGAUCUGGUUGGUCUAUCGCAUGGGCACU